GACGAACGCUGGCGGCGUGCUUAACACAUGCAAGUCGAACGGAAAGGCCCUGCUUGCAGGGUGCUCGAGUGGCGAACGGGCGAGUAACACGUGGGUGAUCUGCCCCUUACUUUGGGAUAAGCCUGGGAAACUGGGUCUAGUACUGGAUAGGACCAUGCUGUAGGUGGUGUGGUGGAAAGAUUAGUUUCGGUAGGGGAUGAGCUCGCGGCCUAUCAGCUUGUUGGUGGGGUAAUGGCCUACCAAGGCGUCGACGGGUAGCCGGCCUGAGAGGGUGGGCGGCCACAUUGGGACUGCGAUACGGCCCAGACUCCUACGGGAGGCAGCAGUGGGGAAUAGUGCACAAUGGGCGCAAGCCUGAUGCAGCGACGCCGCGUGGGGGGUGACGGCCUUCGGGUUGUAAACUCCUUUCAGCCAUGACGAAGCCCUUGUGGUGACGGUAGUGGUAGAAGAAGCACCGGCUAACUACGUG
rnacentral:rRNA from 1 species